AUUGAACGCUGGCGGCAUGCCUUACACAUGCAAGUCGAACGGCAGCACGGGUGCUUGCACCUGGUGGCGAGUGGCGAACGGGUGAGUAAUACAUCGGAACAUGUCCUGUAGUGGGGGAUAGCCCGGCGAAAGCCGGAUUAAUACCGCAUACGAUCUACGGAUGAAAGCGGGGGACCUUCGGGCCUCGCGCUAUAGGGUUGGCCGAUGGCUGAUUAGCUAGUUGGUGGGGUAAAGGCCUACCAAGGCGACGAUCAGUAGCUGGUCUGGGAGGACGACCAGCCACACUGGGACUGAGACACGGCCCAGACUCCUACGGGAGGCAGCAGUGGGGAAUUUUGGACAAUGGGCGAAAGCCUGAUCCAGCAAUGCCGCGUGUGUGAAGAAGGCCUUCGGGUUGUAAAGCACUUUUGUCCGGAAAGAAAUCCUUGGCCCUAAUACGGUCGGGGGAUGACGGUACCGGAAGAAUAAGCACCGGCUAACUACGUG
rnacentral:rRNA from 1 species